AGGCAUGCGGUUUAUUGUUCGAAUUAAUUAAUGGAUUAUUAAUAAGAAAUGUAGAUAAUGUAUGCUGCAAAACUUUGAAAAUCCUGAAACACACCCUAAGGGUUAUGGAAUUUACAUCUUUCACAGCUUCUAUUAUUUCUUCACUAGUUUGCAGCUAUGCCCACACCUGGAAGGUGACAAAAGGUGGAGUUUACUUUCUCGCCCGUGUCAGCAGUCAUACUGUGGAAUCCAUGAAAAUUGGAUUUCCUUUUUCUGGUGCGUUUUACUCUUGAACUGUGUAACUGUGGAUAACUUUAAUACUGCCCAUUCUUUGUUUACAGUUAUAUAAUUUCUAUGAGCCUUAAAAGUAACCGACAUAUUUCUUUCUUAAGGUUUCAGUAUAAAACAUAAUCUGCAUCUUCAUUAUGAAACUCAUAUGCAAUUUUCUUCUAUCUCUAGAAGUUUAGAUUGAGGUUUAAAAGAACCAUUUUCAUUAUCAAGCUUCCCCAUAGUUUCCCACUUUCCUAUUCCAAAUAUUUUAAAAAAUCACACCAAAUAUCAGAGCUUUUAGCAAUAUAAAGAAAGAUUUACUUUCAAAAGUAGCAAAACUUGUUUGAAAAAAAUAUAUAUCUUUAAGUGAAUUACUUUAUAAAUGUGACUGUCAAAGUCAGCUAUCCUAUGAUCUACAUUUUACAACAUAUUGUACAAAAGAUACAUUGAUAGGCUCUUAUCUAUUUAUAUAUUUAUAAUUACAUAUUGCACUUGGACCAGCAAGGCUUGCAGAGUCAUUCACGGUAGAAGUUAAUAAAGUUAAAUAGAUGGGAAUCUUUGUAAGUACAAUUGAUCUCCUCUGGUUUGGAAACAAAUCUCCUCGUCGUUGUAAAGUGUUCUCGCGGGGUGGGACAGAGAGAGGAGCAUUGCGAGGGGGAAGCAGAGACAGAGAGCACGGAGGGCAGGGGUCGCCUUCCCGGGGCCCGCUCCCCCCGGGAGCGCGCCUUUCCCAGACUCGCACCUCCAAGGUCAGGACGCGGUGGUUCCACAUAAGCGGCUCGCGGUCACCACUUCUUUCAGGUCACUCUCGGGUUUCCCGGCCACCAUAAAGGGCCACGUCUGCGGGAAAGAAGAGGGUGGAGGAGAAUUGUGAGAAGGAACCUCGAGGACUUCUGCAGCAGAGGAACCGGCUCUCUGUUUCCCCACUCCCAGAGUCGUGGCCGUAGAGGAGUGUGAGCGAGCGCUGAGGAAUUUGGUGGACACUAGGAAUUUAUCUGGGGAAUAGAGGGGCGGAUCCUUGCAGCCCAGGGGAGGGGCCUGCCAGGCCCCAGCAAAGCGCUUAGACCCCUUUCACAACCGGAGGGAAACUCAAUGCACAGACCCUGAUUUGCAACUUGUAAUGUAAAUCAACUCAACUGCAUCAUGUACAUACCAGCCACCUUCUCCCAACUGUGGCCGGGGCCGAGGAGAAGCAUGUCCUGUCCAUCUCUAAAAGGCCUUCUUUCCCUCUUAAGACGUCACAACUGGUUGUUACCGAGAACUUUAGAAAAACGACUAGAUCGUUUGGCUCUUUCUGGGCCUUCCACCUACACUCCAUGCCCUCUCUCCUCCCAAGAAAACACGAAUUAAAAUACAGGGAGUAUCAACCGCAUCCUGCCAACACCUCAUAAGACUCCAAGGCUUUACCGAGAUCUCCUUCCACCUUCCCCGGGAUAAAUGAAGACAAGUGCUUCCUAGAAUCUUUAUGGUGAUGGAAAAGUGGAGAUUUAAAUGACCACAUCCACCCUAAGAUUUAUUGUGAGAAUGAUUGAUGUUAUAAACCAGGAAAAAGACUCUUCCCACAGCAGGGAUGACAGAAAUAUCAAGUUGAAGUUGCCUUUGUCUUCACAUACAAAUGACCCAGUACUAUAACACAGAAAGUAUAAUAAUUUAAUCUGAGGUUCAAGACAGCAGUAAGAGAACACCCAGCAGGCCUGUUAAAAAUUUCUUCACUAAUUCCCCAACUAGUUUCCUUUGAUUUGCUCUCCCUUUUCUCAGUCUUGGUAAAACAUGAAAGUUAAAGUUAUUUUUAGACUAAAGAGCUAUGUGAAAAUAGGCAUUGGCCAAUACUUUGUGAAAUGUGUGUGUGUGUGUGUGUGUGUGUGUGUGUAGCUACUAAGAUAUCUGCAAAAUAACUACAAAUAAUUAAUUUGGGCUCUGGAAUGUGAUAAUUAUUAUAAAUCCAAACUAUGGCCUUAAUACCAGGCUAUUAAGCUGUGAUUUUUCUUGUUGGAGCCAUUUUUUUUUCUUUUUGGCUCUGGCUUUCUGUUACACCUUAGUUAAUGGACUGCUCAGGCUGUCUGGGGAGAUAGUAACAAUCAUAGUAAUAUGUACCACUGAAAAGAUUUCUGUUAUCUGUAUAUUUUUCAAUGUUGGAAACUUAAAAGUACCAAUUUCUGGAAGCAUGUAAAACUAGCCUCAUGUCAUAGGCUGGUUUUUAUGCUUAGCAAUUACUUUUCUUCAUAGCCAUAUAAGAAAUAAUUAAGUCCCAUGUCCAUUUAUCUUGCAGUGAGGCAUUUAGGCUGAGAAAGGCUAGUGGGCUGAUAAUAAAUUUUGGAGUGUUUCUAAAAUUCUGUAAAAGAUGGCUUCCAGUUUGGGAGUAAGAGUUGAAGAAUGCUGUUGCUUAUGUAUCUUGAUAUGAAGUCUUGAAGAAAGAAUAUUCAUAUGAAAAAUACUUUUUUCUUUUAAAAUUUUGUGUCUAUCCCUGCUAAUAAACACUUAGGGACAAAUGGGUGGGGGAAAUGACUUCUUGUUGGAUUCUACUGAGCAAAUCAGUUAAGCUGUAACUUAAGCUGUGCCAAAUUCUCCCAAAAUAUAAACUAUAUUCUGUGAGAAGAGAAGCACUUUUGAGAAGCUGUAUUAACCCUUUUGGUACGUUGACCCUUCUGUUCCAAAGCACGAAAUAGAAAACUAGUGAUUUGAAAGUAUGAGAUCAUUUCUAAAAGUUCUUACCUGACUUUUAAGAAACAGUUAUGCCCCAGAGGCAUCUGGCCAAUUUGCUGCUCACUUCUAACAAUUUGUUUUGCAAGAGAGACUAUCUUUGAAAGAUUUUAGUGCUAAGGAAAUUUUAUCUCCGAAAGCUGUAAAAUGAAGAUUAGGCAUGGAAUGUACCCUUGAACUUAAAUCCUGGUUUAUCAGCUGAUACAUUUACAGGAAGUUCAAAUUUGAUUCAGUUGCACUUGGAUGGAAUAAUUUGCUUCCUUUUUUAUGAGAAGGAAAACAUCAUAGGCUUCCUUUGAACUGACUUCAUAUGCCAUUACAUAAUCUUUCUCAGGGGAAAAAUAUGCCUUUAAAUGUAAAUGUUAAUUCUUUUCUCUUACUCCUCAUAAUUUGGUCAGGAGACACAGGCUGGCAAAUCGGCAAAACUGCCCAUUCUCUUUUUUCUUCAUUUCUAAUUAGCACCUCCAGAUGUUUUAUUCAUUUUAUUUGAUGGUAACUACCACCACUUCAAAUAUUUGCCAACUUUCUAUGCAACUUGAUGCCUUUUUUUUUUCUUUUUUGUUGGAGUCUUGCUCUGUCACCCAAGCUGGAGUGCAUCAGCAUGAUCUAGGCUCACUGCAACCUCCGCCUCCCAAGUUUAAGAGAUUCUCAUGCCUCAGCCUCUCGAGUAGCUAGAAUUACAGGUGCCUGCCACCAUGCCUAUCUAAUUUUUGUAUUUUUAGUAGAGGUGGGAUUUCGCCAUUUUGGCCAGGCUGGUUUCAAACUCCUGAUCUACCCACCUCGGCCUCCCAAAGUGCUGGGAUUACAGGCAUGAGCCACCGUGCCCAGCCAGGUGCCUCUUUUUUGAUUUUACAUAAUUAUCUCCAUACCCUUUGUUUGCUGCUGAUUGAUUGUUGUCUAUCUCCCACUUAUAUGCCUAUCAAAAUCUGACUUUGUUUCAUUAAAUUUUAACUUUAUUUCAUAAAGUGAGCAUUACCUCUCUUUGCUCCUUCUAAAUUAUAGUGGUGCUGGCCUGUUAUAUUUUGGCAGCCAAAGUGAAUAUGGCACUAGUGAGCUUGGUGGCUAGCUAAGAAGGUCAAUAACAGUGAUGCUGGGUGUUGCUGCUACCUUUACUUGGCACCAGCUGGGAGACGGUAUAAAUCCUGGAUGGUAUAAAUCCAUUCAGUAAUCAGAAGUCUUCCGCGUGUUCACUAUACCCUAACCCCCUCUUUUCACAUUUAAUUCAGUGAAUUGUAGAUAAGAUGCCACAUUGCUAAGAUUUAAAGCUGGCAAAUAACAACAAUAAAGUUUAGGGAAAGAUUCUGCAUGGUUCUUUGAAUCCAGGAGUUAAUCUUGCAUUUCACGUGUUCCACAAUACAGCUUUGAAAGCAGCCAAGCCUAUGCACUUGAAAGUCAGGGUUUACCCUAAGGUGUAAGUGGGCCAGAGAAAACUCGGGCAGACAAAGAGAGUUAAACAUUUUGCAAAGCCAGUUUAGUGUCUUCCUAAGUUUUCUAAUACUAGAAUAAUUGUAUUAGACCCUGUCAGUGUUAGGAAAGAGAGAGAAAAGGACUGAGCGACUCCUGAGUCAGGUACCAUGCAGGGACCUUUGCCUCCAUUCUCUCAUUUCAUGUAUUUUCUCUCCUUUCUGUUGGCACUACUAAAGAAAGAGCUGCCACAUGAAAUGAAUAGUGUAUUAGAAAUGUAUGCCAGAGGCUUUCCCCUGUAAUAAAGUUUUAGAAAAACUG
rnacentral:antisense_RNA from 1 species